UUAUCACGGGAGACACACGGCGGGUGCUAACGUCCGUCGUGAAGAGGGAAACAACCCAGACCGCCAGCUAAGGUCCCAAAGUCAUGGUUAAGUGGGAAACGAUGUGGGAAGGCCCAGACAGCCAGGAUGUUGGCUUAGAAGCAGCCAUCAUUUAAAGAAAGCGUAAUAGCUCACUGGUCGAGUCGGCCUGCGCGGAAGAUGUAACGGGGCUAAACCAUGCACCGAAGCUGCGGCAGCGACGCUGAUGCGUUGUUGGGUAGGGGAGCGUUCUGUAAGCCUGCGAAGGUGACCUGUGAGGGUUGCUGGAGGUAUCAGAAGUGCGAAUGCUGACAUAAGUAACGAUAAAGCGGGUGAAAAGCCCGCUCGCCGGAAGACCAAGGGUUCCUGUCCAACGUUAAUCGGGGCAGGGUGAGUCGACCCCUAAGGCGAGGCCGAAAGGCGUAGUCGAUGGGAAACGGGUUAAUAUUCCCGUACUUGGUGUUACUGCGAAGGGGGGACGGAGAAGGCUAUGUUGGCCGGGCGACGGUUGUCCCGGUUUAAGCGUGUAGGUGUGUGUUCCAGGUAAAUCCGGUUCACUUUAACACUGAGGCGUGACGACGAGGCACUACGGUGCUGAAGCAACAAAUGCCCUGCUUCCAGGAAAAGCCUCUAAGCAUCAGGUAACACGAAAUCGUACCCCAAACCGACACAGGUGGUCAGGUAGAGAAUACCAAGGCGCUUGAGAGAACUCGGGUGAAGGAACUAGGCAAAAUGGUGCCGUAACUUCGGGAGAAGGCACGCUGACACGUAGGUGAAGUGAUUUACUCAUGGAGCUGAAGUCAGUCGAAGAUACCAGCUGGCUGCAACUGUUUAUUAAAAACACAGCACUGUGCAAACACGAAAGUGGACGUAUACGGUGUGACGCCUGCCCGGUGCCGGAAGGUUAAUUGAUGGGGUCAGCGCAAGCGAAGCUCCUGAUCGAAGCCCCGGUAAACGGCGGCCGUAACUAUAACGGUCCUAAGGUAGCGAAAUUCCUUGUCGGGUAAGUUCCGACCUGCACGAAUGGCGUAAUGAU
rnacentral:rRNA from 1 species